rnacentral:rRNA from 1 species
CACGUAGGGCGCAAGCGUUGUCCGGAAUUAUUGGGCGUAAAGAGCUCGUAGGCGGUCUGUUACGUCUGCUGUGAAAACCCGGGGCUUAACCCUGGGCUUGCAGUGGAUACGGGCAGACUAGAGGCAGGUAGGGGAGAAUGGAAUUCCCGGUGUAGCGGUGAAAUGCGCAGAUAUCGGGAGGAACACCGGUGGCGAAGGCAGGUCUCUGGGCCAUUACUGACACUGAGAAGCGAAAGCAUGGGGAGCGAACAGG